CCUACGGGUGGCUGCAGUGGGGAAUUUUGGACAAUGGGGGCAACCCUGAUCCAGCCAUUCCGCGUGAGUGAAGAAGGCCUUCGGGUUGUAAAGCUCUUUUGUCCGGAGCGAAACGGGCGGCCCUAAUACGGUCGUCUACUGACGGUACCGGAAGAAUAAGCACCGGCUAACUACGCGCCAGCAGCCGCGGUAAUACGUAGGGUAAUAGCUUUAAUCGGAGCUUCUGGGCGCAAAGCGUGCGGACGCGUGUGAAAUCCCCGGGCUCAACCUGGGAAUGGCAUUUGGGACUGCAAGGCUGGAGUGUGGCAGAGGGGACUAGAAUUCCUGGUGUAGCAGUGAAAUGCGUAGAUAUCAGGAGGAAUACCGAUGGCGAAGGCAGGUCCCUGGGUUAACACUGACGCUCAUGCACGAAAGCGUGGGGAGCAAACAGGAUUAGAUACCCCAGUAGUC
rnacentral:rRNA from 1 species